CCAGAUGCCUAGUCAGAACCAAAUGAAGCAGAACAACACUGCUGAAGUUGGAAUUGCCAAAACCCAUAGUAUCACUGUCAAUGGUCACAAUUCAUCGUGAGAGACUGUCUACUGGAAUAGGGAUGAAGUGAUGCAUCAUCACUUGUGAACUCUGCCCAUUAUACUUUGCCAGGGAAGCUUCGAUGAACUGCUUUAUGGCAUUUAGCCAGUGAGAGUACUCUCAAGAGCUUUUAGAGUGGGCUGGCAAACUUGCAGAGUCCAACCAAGUUAUUACAUUAAUUGCUUGUCAUGUUAUAAAGUUGCUGAACUAGUUCAUAUAUAUAAUCAUCUUUAUUAUUAUUAUUAUCCAGUUACAGUUUAUUU